rnacentral:rRNA from 1 species
UACGGAGGGUGCGAGCGUUGUCCGGAAUCACUGGGCGUAAAGGGCGCGUAGGCGGCUUGAUAAGUAGGGGGUGAAAUCCUGCGGCUUAACCGCAGGGCUGCCUUCUAAACUGUCAGGCUUGAGCACAGUAGAGGCAGGUGGAAUUCCCGGUGUAGCGGUGGAAUGCGUAGAGAUCGGGAAGAACAUCAGUGGCGAAGGCGGCCUGCUGGGCUGUUGCUGACGCUGAGGCGCGACAGCGUGGGGAGCAAACAGG